rnacentral:ncRNA from 2 species
UAUCGUAUGCGCGCGUUUGGUGCCCGCACAUGCGUUCGCGUGUGCAGUUAAACGGGAAACAGGCAGCGCGCUUGCGCUUAACCUGUGCUGUCCCCGCAACGGUAAGCGACCUGCGGCGCGAAUUUCAUUGCGCCGCGCAUGCGUUUCAAAGCCACUGUCCGAUCCAUUCGAACGAAUGCGGGCGGGAAGGCAAACGCGUGAGGCCGCCAGCCCGGAUACCGGCCAGACGUGGAGGCGGCCU